AGCAGCAAAGUCCAACUAUCAUUAACGUCUCCAUUUCCUUCUCAUCAAAGUGUCCAUAUAAGCUUGGAUCAGAGGCUUUAAGGACUUCACCAAGGCCCUGGAGUUUCCAAACCCAAUCCACCAAAUAGAUAUCUUCAUUCAUCUUAGGUUCAAUUGCCUUUCUGCCACAGGCUAUCUCCAAAGCAACUACUCCAAAGCUGUACACAUCAGAUUCCCUGCUAGCCUUGCCUCUUGUUGUAGCUUCAGGAGGCAAAUACCCAAUUGUUCCUGCUAAACCAGUUGUUUGUGAUUCUAUCCCAUGAUCCAUUACUCUGGCCAAUCCAAAAUCUCCAAGCUUUGCAUUAAAAUUUGAAUCCAACAUAACAUUGCUGGAUUUUAUGUCUCUAUGAAGCACACAAUCUUCCCACUCUUCAUGCAGGUAUAACAAUGCUGAUGCCAAGCCUCUCGCAAUAUUAUAUCUCACUUUCCAUGUCAGCAGGCCUUUUCCCUUGAACAGAUAAUAAUCCAAGCUUCCACUUUCCAUGAACUCAUAAAUCAGCAGCAGGUCAUCAUGCUGAUGGCACCACCCAAAAAGUUGAACCAAAUUUCUAUGCCUCAGUUGACUAAUGAUCUUUACUUCCGACAUAUACUCUUUCACCCCUUGUCUAGAUCCAGGAGAUACCUUCUUAAUGGCAACAUGGGUGUUCAACCCUCUUAUAAAUCCCCUGUAGACGGCUCCAAAACCUCCCUGUCCUAUCUUAUUUUCUCUUGCGAAGUUAUUAGUUGCUGUGGCCAGUUCUUGAAAGGAAAACUUCUUGGGUAGAGAGAUUUUAUCGAAAUCAUUGUCCAUAGCAUUGUCAAAAAGUGAGACAUCUUCUAUACCUCUAGUCCUCAGCAUCCAUCUCACAAGAAAAGUUACCCCGAAAAUAACAAUUAAAACACCUACACCAAGUCCAACGCUCAGCCCUAUCACCAGCCCUAUUUUGCUUCCACCCUUUUGUUUUUGUGGUUCCAUCUCCAAAGUAGAGUUGAAGGACCAUGAACUAAGAGUAUGUUCCUCAUAAGUAAAUCCUGUUGCCGAAGAGAAGCCAAAUUGAACCCAUUCAGGUAAGAUAUCACUCAAAUUGACCUCUGAGCAUAAUCUCUGUUUAAUUUUGACAUUAUCCUUAUAUCCAUUGAAGGUGACACUUAAUUCGUUUGAAGCAGAAUUGAAAGUAAUAUCAGCAUCAUACCCUCUUUCAUCCAUGCUAGUGAACCACUCUGUAGUGCUAGUAGUGCUAAGAGCAUUAACAUCGAUACCCACAUGGUCAUAUCCCGGAUCCCAGGCAUUAACCAAGGUGUCAAAUUCCACUGCUACAAAAGGAAAGUCCUUUGCGUAAUUUUGACUGCUUAGUUGGCCACGGCUGGCAAGACCAAUACCACUUCCAUCUUUCUGGGACUGUGGAAAGUUUGGAUGUGCCAGAAAGAAGGUGAUUCCAUCUCCAGGAUUGGUUUGAUUUAGGGAGUUGAUGAUAAAGGAGAAAUGGGUAGUGAAGUCUGCAACCUUUCCCGAGCUCUUGUCCCAAAGAUGCAAUAAUUUGUAAUAUAUGACUCUACCAACACUAUCUUCCUUAUAUUUGGUGAGGUUGAGGAUUCCUUCUUGAGCUUCAACAUCUCCCGAAAUAUUGAGGACGUUUCCAGUGUGACCAAGUUGCUGAUAGUUGAAUUCUAAUGAAGCUGCAUGAGGUAAUAGAAGAAGCAAGAGUGUUAAUGUGACAUGAAAAGAAACACGCACAUAACUUUUCUUGCAGUACUGAGAUGGUGCCAUGGCUGGAGAAUUGAUGCUGCCCUCCAUGGAAAUGGAAUGGUCAAACAUGGUUUGGUUGGAGUAGCUGCUUGUAGUGUUGUAGUUAAUUUCUGUUGUUUCUUGUUUUUCACUCUUUUAUGGUUGAAUGAGUAAUACGAUGGUGAUAUAAUAACACCGUCAGUGAAAACGGACACCUUAUAUAGCAAUAAAUUAAUAUUUUAAUACUUUUUAUUUUAUUUUUCAAUAUAAAAUAUUAUUAUAUUAUAAAGAGAUGUGAGGUUUCUGUUAGUUACUGUUUGUCGUAAUUGCUAUUUAAACCAUAUUUGUGUAUUAAAUGUGAACCACUCUGGAUGGCUAUUCCAACGAAAUUUUCAAGUCAUUUUGUUUAUUCACACGUUAAGUGAAUGUAAAUUACACGUCAACACGUACUCGGUUUUAACUUUGAAUCAGGUCACGUUCACAUACAUUACAUUCACUUUACAAUCAUAAAUCAUAAAUCAGUUAUAAAUUACACAUAUUUACGGAGUUUUUUCAAUUGCCCCAGAUUACAUCAAUAUUUAAAGAUCUUUUUUACCCUUCAACCAAUCUACCUACCUCAUCAAUCAAAGUUUAUAAAGAAAGAAAUAUCAUAUAUUUAUUUUUUAAAUUAGAAAAUUAUUCUUAUGACGUUUUAAAAAUUAGAAGCAUGUCCCUUCCUAAUACAAUGAAGAAAAGUGAUGAAUGAUGCAUUAGAUGACUUUUUGAAAUUGAUUUUUUUUAAAUAUUUUUAUUUAUUUUUAUAUGUGUAUCCAAUUUUAUCACUUACUUUUUAGAGUUUAGAAUGACAUCCAAGUUUGAUUUUUUUUUUCAUUGUGAAUUUUGCAAGUAUUUUCUCAAGAUAUUUAAUCUUAUUUUCUUGAAUCUUGCAACUUUCUCAAUCGACAAUUUUAACUUAUGAGGUUGAAUCAUAAAAGAAUUGUUUGUAAACUUUUUUCAAAGCAUCUAAAUCAUUUUUCAAGUUUUCAAUUUUUCUUUUAUUUGAUUCAAGGUUUUUUCCAACCAUCUAUUUUCUCCCUCUAACUCUAUUGCUUGAGUCAAUAAGUUAUUUUCCUUCCUCGUGUAACUCAUUGAAGGCAUCAUUAAAAAGUUGAUCAUGGUUUGAUUCAAUAACAAAGUUUGAGUUACUCAUAUUGCUUCUUAAUGAUUAAAGAUCAGUCAUAAAACACAUGUUAGUUUCCUUAUCACUAUUUCUUGUGCCACUAGAAUACACAAAACAGUUUAUAUAGCCAUUUAUCAGAGUAAGAGAAGAGAGAUUCAAACAGAUAUUUACAUUGGUUUAUUCUUAACCAAGAGUUACAUCCAGUCCUCAACUCACCACUAAAAAUUCAUUAAGUAAUCAAAAUCAGAUUACAAACCACAGCCAAGAGUGUUGAUCUUGAACCCCUACAAAACACACAACACUCUCAACCAAAACCACAUUUUCCAGAAAUACUAUCUGAAGAUGUUUUACAACAAAAUACAGAAUUGAAAGAAAUAAUUAAAAUAAACUUGGGCUUUACAAAGCUCUAGAAAAAUGGAAAAGAAAACCCAAAUUCCUACUUCACACAUAAACAAUGAUCCAAUAUUCCAAAAAUGAUUAAAAACUCUUUCAUCUUCUUUUGAAAAUGUUUUUAUCAAAACUUUUUUUUAAAUGGUCAUAAACCAGUCUUUAUAUACACUUUAAAAAGUGGUUAAAAUGUUUGAUCAUUAAAUGCAAUUCUGUUAAAAGCAUUUAAAAGUAGUUUGAAUAUCAUAACAAAAUUAUGUUAAAAAACACUUGAUUGAUGUUUCAAACAAACUAAUUGUUUUCAUUUUCUUUUAAAAACUAAAUGUAAAAAAGUUAGUUUAUCAAAAUAAUUGACUAAUUUUGCUUUAUAGAAAAGACAAAAGAAACCAAAUCAUUUUUAAAUUCUUUUAAAAAUCUUAAGUAUAAUUCAAUCGCCGAUAAAUUAACUUGUUGGAAUCACCAAACUUUGAACAAUUUUUUUUUUCAAUUGAUUUAAAACACGAAACAAAAAAUUAAAUCAUACUAACUUACAUCAUAACUAGGUGCAAAUUAACAACUCAAAGUCUACCUAAUUACACACAACAACAAAUCUUCAAGUUUUUAAAGUUAAAUUUGGAAAUUAUCAAAACAAAUUUGUUCAACAUUCCCAUUUCACAUUUUUUUUUCUUUAUAAACUUUUUGAAUUUCUUGUCAUGAACCUUUUGCUUCAAAUUAAACAAAUGACAAUCAACUUUAACACGACUAGUCUUAUUACAUCCAAAACACUUAUACAUCGAUUACGAUGAAUAAUACAACUUCUAUUCCAUUUCUUUUUGUUAUUUAAGAAUUUAAGAACUUGAUUACUCUUCACUAGAUUCGUAUCUUGUUGUUUCAGCAUUGAAAGUAACUCAUUUCUUUUUCUUAUUCUCUUUAUCUCAUUUCUUUUUCUUAUCCUCUUUAUCUGUUAGUCUUUCUAACUAAGUUUACCAAAUAAAUUUGUCAUAUAGAUAGAAGUGAGUUUUUAUUUUAUUUUGAAAUGGUUGUCACAUAUUAGAUUUUUUUAUGUGUUUAAGGAUUUCACUAUUUUAAUUAGUUAUUUUAUUUUAAACUUCUUUUCUAAAAUCACAAGAUGAUUCACUGCGUAAAUUAACUUUUUUUAUUAACUCUUUUUAUGUUUCUUAUAUGUUUUUUUUAUUGAAGCACACUAAAGAUAUCAUAUUCUUGUAGUAUGAGAAUGUUCUUCCUUAUUUUUUUAACAUGUUUAGUACCCUCGUGCAUGACCUCAAGAAUAUCAUAUUUAUAAUGUUUAUAUAUAUAUAUAUAUAUAUUUAUAAUAAAUUAUAACUAAUAAUAAUAAUAUAAAUAAUUUAAUAAUUAGAUACACGGUUAAAAUUUAAUAUAAAAAACUUAAUAAUUACAUACAAUGUUAAAAAUUGUAUUUAAAAUUAUUAUUAAUAUUUAAAAUUAUUACAUCAAAAUCUAAUAUCUAUAUAUAAAUAUUUUAAUAUUACUAAAAUUAAUUACUAAUAUUAAUAAUGUUCAAGUUUCCUUAAAAAUAUUUUUAUUCACUAGUUUAAUAUUUUUUUUAUUGACAUUAAUUAUACACACUAUUUAAUAAUCUUAAAACUAUAUUAAUUGAGUCUAUAAAUUUAAUUUUCAAAAUUCUUAUUUUAAAUUUGUUAAAUAUCUUUUGAAUACUGUUCAAAAAUAAAAAUAGAAGACCUGCAUAGAAGUUGAGUCAUGAAAAUUCGAUUUCCCUAGGGAAAACAAAAAAAAAAACGAUAGUGUGGUAAAUAAAAUAUAAAAGAAUCUGUUUGGAAUAUUUUGUUUGGUUUAAAAUCAGAAAUAUACAUAAUUUAUGAGUUAGCAAUAGGGUGAUGCCCACGCCUCUUUAUGUCUUGGCAGCCACAGCCACGUCCACGUAGUACUUGUUAUUAGGACACCCCAAAAAAUAUCUCUUGUUAUUAAGGAUCUUGUCCUUGCCAAUGAGUCAUCAACUACGCGUCGCAGGAAAAAAAAUAGAGAACGGUAUUAGAUGUGUUCAAGAUUCUCUUAUAACAUUACGCAAUGGGAAGGCAAGAUUUGGAUUUGAAAUUAUAGGAAGAAAUACGUAGUAGUGCGAAACAUGUAUAUGUAGAAUUUCACUAUAAGAAAAAUAAAGGAUGAAUUGAAUACAUAUAAAGCUUAGUAGGUAUGCAAAGGUGCAGCUGCUGGAGUAAUGAUUUCAAGAUUUGUGGUGGAUUGUGAGGACCCCGUUAAUAUACUACUGCUUGAAGUUGAAGAUGAAUGUUGGUUACUUGCAAAAGCAGGAGUCCUAGAUGCCAUAGAACUCCAAGAUGCAUUAUAGUUUCUUGCUGUGAGAAUGGGCACUGGAGCUUCAAAAUUAAGGAUCUGAACAGCUUGUCUUAUCGUAGGCCUCAAAAGGUAAUCUGUGUGACAGCAGCAAAGUCCAACUAUCAUUAACGUCUCCAUUUCCUUCUCAUCAAAGUGUCCAUAUAAGCUUGGAUCAGAGGCUUUAAGGACUUCACCAAGGCCCUGGAGUUUCCAAACCCAAUCCACCAAAUAGAUAUCUUCAUUCAUCUUAGGUUCAAUUGCCUUUCUGCCACAGGCUAUCUCCAAAGCAACUACUCCAAAGCUGUACACAUCAGAUUCCCUGCUAGCCUUGCCUCUUGUUGUAGCUUCAGGAGGCAAAUACCCAAUUGUUCCUGCUAAACCAGUUGUUUGUGAUUCUA
rnacentral:lncRNA from 1 species